GUGGUUAUACGGAGUUAAUCUCCAACCCCUGUGACAUACCUUACUGUUGCCUCGGCGGAUCAGCCCGCUCCCGGUAAAACGGGACGGCCCGCCAGAGGACCCCUAAACUCUGUUUCUAUAUGUAACUUCUGAGUAAAACCAUAAAUAAAUCAAAACUUUCAACAACGGAUCUCUUGGUUCUGGCAUCGAUGAAGAACGCAGCAAAAUGCGAUAAGUAAUGUGAAUUGCAGAAUUCAGUGAAUCAUCGAAUCUUUGAACGCACAUUGCGCCCGCCAGUAUUCUGGCGGGCAUGCCUGUUCGAGCGUCAUUUCAACCCUCAAGCCCUCGGGUUUGGUGUUGGGGAUCGGCGAGCCUUUCUGGCAAGCCGGCCCCGAAAUCUAGUGGCGGUCUCGCUGCAGCCUCCAUUGCGUAGUAGUAAAACCCUCGCAACUGGAACGCGGCGCGGCCAAGCCGUUAAACCCCCAACUUCUGAAUGUUGACCUCGGAUCAGGUAGGAAUACCCGCUGAACUUAAGCAUAUCAUAACCGGGAGGAA
rnacentral:rRNA from 1 species